UGGGGAAUAUUGCACAAUGGGCGAAAGCCUGAUGCAGCAACGCCGCGUGAACGAUGAAGGCCUUCGGGUCGUAAAGUUCCGUCCUCAAGGAAGAUAAUGACGGUACUUGAGGAGGAAGCCCCGGCUAACUACGUGCCAGCAGCCGCGGUAAUACGUAGGGGGCUAGCGUUAUCCGGAUUUACUGGGCGUAAAGGGUGCGUAGGCGGUUUUUAAGUCAGAAGUGAAAGGCUACGGCUUAACCGUAGUAAGCUUUUGAAACUGGAGAACUUGAGUGCAGGAGAGGAGAGUGGAAUUCCUAGUGUAGCGGUGAAAUGCGUAGAUAUUAGGAGGAACACCAGUAGCGAAGGCGGCUCUCUGGACUGUAACUG
rnacentral:rRNA from 1 species